rnacentral:lncRNA from 1 species
GGCAAACCUGUAAACGACAUAUAUUAUGAAACGAGAGAAUGCCACAUUAAAUUUAUGAGACACAUAUUCCUAAUGAAUCAGCAAGCACAUAAUGAUCCAAUUAGAGUUACACAGAAACAGAUCAUUCAGCGUGCAUAGUUUAUGGCACAUUAAAACAUGAGAACCAUUAAGAAAAUAAACAUUACAUCACGGUACUCAAUCCAUUGACUGAUAACCAGCUGGAUCAUGCUCAUGCUCCCACCACUAUUUCUUCGCGUUGCCUUUGUUUUUCGAAUCUGUGGUGGCUCCUCCUCCUGAUGCUUGCCCAGCCUUCUUAGCUGCCUUCUCCUGGAGCGCCUUUGCAUCCCUUCACAACAAUAGUGCAACUCAAAAUCAGUUCUUUUUCUGCCCAAUCAAUUAUUAAAAUAACAAUCUCACUUAAAAUAAAAAUAAGAUGCAAAAAGAAUGUAAUCAAUAGUAAAAUUCCAGAAAGCCCUAACAACAAGAAGCUAGAUCAAUUAGAACAAGGGAAGGGAUACCUCUCGCGGCGCUGUUCGGGGGUCAUGCCGUCGUCUUUUUGCUUCCCCUGAGCUUUUCGAGCUUGUGCCCUCUGCCUAUCAACUUCCCUCUGGUUUCCCCGUGAAUUAGAAUUAAGAGAAACAUCAUCACAUCCGUGCAUAAUCAAGAGACGGAAACUAGGAUUCCAUCGAAUCAGCCAUUUACAACGAAACCAACGACAAGUAAUCAGAUCGAAUCAUCGACAAGAAAGGUUAACGAGACCAACACGAAUCGGAAAUCGCAGAUCUCGCUCUCUCAUCAAACGAUCUGGAAAAGAUGAUAAGAACGAAAUCCAAGUACGGAAUCGAAAUAUAUCAUCGAAUAAGGAUAUGAGUCAUCCUCUCCGCUUCUGUGCAGGAAGAACCACCCGACGAGAGGGCACGAAGAAUCCGUACCACACGACAGAAAGAAAAGGGGUGAGAUGGAGGCAGGAAAGGGAAUAUAUUGAAGAAGGGGAAUCGGAGAGGUGUUCGGGUAUUGUUCAUCUUUUCCUACCCGUUCAAUGCUCG